GAUGUAGCUCAGUGCUAGAGCAUUUGCCUAGCAAGCGUGAGGCCCUGGGUUAAAUCCCCAGCACA
rnacentral:tRNA from 1 species